UGCCAACUGCUGAGAAACUCCAAAGAUUUCCCCUGUUCACCCAUGCCAGUGAGGCCUGAUCGCUGAAGUAGACAAACUGAGACACUUGGAGGCUCAGCUGAACUCUUCGGCGCAACAGAGCUUUGGGGGCCAAUUUCUUUGCCACAGAAAGGAAUGUGCAAACUGAAAGACAAUGAAGAAAUCAAAGUUUUAAUUGACUGCCAAAGAGGUUGAAUUUCAAACUGAAGUGAUCGAAAUGAAGAAAGUGAUUGAAGGUAUAUUCACAGAUCCAGUGAAGGGAGUCUACUACUUCACAUUAUGUACGUUUGUCUACAAUGACCACAAGGGUGCUGAUGGUGACAAUGCGGCCAUUUUGAAUCUGAAUAAUGGGGACAGGGUCUGUGUGGAACUGUGGGAACAGUGCCAGGUGUAAGACAACAAUGAUGGGCACACUAGCUUCAGUGUGUAAAAUAGAUGUUAUAACCUGUAAAUGAGAAUUACCUCCCUGCCAUGAAAUGCACACUAGGGGUGUGUCCCAAUAAUCUGUGUGUGUACUCUCACUAAAACCAUUGGAUUGGCAGAGGCAUGGGCUAGUGGUAAUUUCCAACAUAUUUCUUAUUCCAUUCAGCAGUAAUUCCCUCUAAAUUAGUGAUGGGAGGUGAACAAGUGCACACUUUGGGAGUUAUGAGCGCUAAUUGGGACAAAGCCUCUCUCUGAAAUGAAGCAGGAAUUAUCUUGACGGUGACUGAAUUUUGUGAGAAUUAACUCCACUGUAUACCUAUGCUGAAUCCCAAACCAGCCCUGUUUUCUCAUGGACUGCUCUUGCAAGUUGUAUUUCCUCUUAAAGUUUGCAUAUCCACAGUAUUUCUGACUUUUUUUUUGUGAUUUGUUUAUGGAAAAGCCUGGAUUAUAAUGUAUGAACUUUUCAUGCCUCCAUGUUAUUUUUCUAUGCUGUUAAUUGAGUUUAGUGUUUUUUUUAAAUGACUGAUUAACUGUAGACAUUGUUUUUGAACCGUUGAACUUCAGUAUGCCAAUGCAAUUCAUUAGACAUUUUCAGACUGAC